CAGUCGCCGCGGUAACACGUAGGUGGCGAGCGUUGUCCGGAAUUACUGGGCGUAAAGCGCACGUAGGCGGUUAUUCAAGUCAGAGGUGAAAGCCCGGGGCUCAACCCCGGAACUGCCUUUGAAACUAGAUGACUGGAAUCUUGGAGAGGUCAGUGGAAUUCCGAGUGUAGAGGUGAAAUUCGUAGAUAUUGGGAAGAACACCGGUGGCGAAGGCGGCAACCUGGUCCAUAACUGACGCUGAGGCGCGAAAGCGUGGGGAGCAAACAGGAUUAGAUACCCCCGUAGUCCCUGUCUCUUAUAC
rnacentral:rRNA from 1 species